rnacentral:rRNA from 1 species
UACGAAGGUCCCAAGCGUUGUUCGGAUUUACUGGGCGUAAAGGGCGCGUAGGCGGCGCGGUAAGUCACUUGUGAAAUCUCUGAGCUUAACUCAGAACGGCCAAGUGAUACUGCAGUGCUAGAGUGCAGAAGGGGCAAUCGGAAUUCUUGGUGUAGCGGUGAAAUGCGUAGAUAUCAAGAGGAACACCUGAGGUGAAGACGGGUUGCUGGGCUGACACUGACGCUGAGGCGCGAAAGCCAGGGGAGCAAACGGG